GACGAACGCUGGCGGCGUGCCUAAUACAUGCAAGUUGAGCGCUGAAGGUUGGUACUUGUACCAACUGGAUGAGCAGCGAACGGGUGAGUAACGCGUGGGGAAUCUGCCUUUGAGCGGGGGACAACAUUUAGAAACGAAUGCUAAUACCGCAUAAAAACUUUAAACACAAGUUUUAAGUUUGAAAGAUGCAAUUGCAUCACUCAAAGAUGAUCCCGCGUUGUAUUAGCUAGUUGGUGAGGUAAAGGCUCACCAAGGCGAUGAUACAUAGCCGACCUGAGAGGGUGAUCGGCCACAUUGGGACUGAGACACGGCCCAAACUCCUACGGGAGGCAGCAGUAGGGAAUCUUCGGCAAUGGACGAAAGUCUGACCGAGCAACGCCGCGUGAGUGAAGAAGGGUUUCGGAUCGUAAAACUCUGUUGGUAGAGAAGAACGUUGGUGAGAGUGGAAAGCUCAUCAAGUGACGGUAACUACCCAGAAAGGGACGGCUAACUACGUG
rnacentral:rRNA from 1 species